CAGAGUUCGUGCCCUCACGGGUAGAUCUCCCACCCUGUGUUAUUAUACCUUUGUUGCUUUGGCGGGCCGCCCUCGGCUACCGGCCCCGGCUGGUACGCGCCUGCCAGAGGACCUAAACUCUGUUUGUCUAUAAUGUCUGAGUACUAUAUAAUAGUUA
rnacentral:misc_RNA from 1 species